rnacentral:tRNA from 1 species
GCGCACGUGGCGAAAUUGGUAGACGCGCAGCCUUGAGGGGGCUGUGAAUGCAAGUUCAUGGAAGUUCGAGUCUUCUCGUGCGCA